ensembl:lncRNA
GCCCCGGGUGAGCGGUCAGCCUUGGCAGAAGGCUAAGAAAUGCCUUGAGGAUGGGAGGGUGGGCAGCUGCAGCCUGAAUGACCUCUCUCCCUCCACACCUGGAUAAUCUCCACUCCUUCAAGCUCGGGUUCCCAGGUCACACCUCCUCAGUUCGGUCUUUUUCCAUGACUCCAGGAAGAGUUAAGGAGGCCCCCUUAGGAAUGCGCAGCCUUUAAAGUUAGGCACUCAUGCAUUUUCCUUAUCACGUUGGCUCACGUGGUGGUUUUCACUGCUUAAUGCUUUGUGGCUGAAUUAAUCACCCUGCGGGGGUGAAGCCACAGCUCCUGGCUGCUGUGGGCUGCUGUCUGCAGAGAGGCCGCCGGGAAGCUGGAGGAGACCCAGCUGGCAAGCAGAGUCCAGCACUCCAUAUUGCAGAAGGAAAUUCCUAUGCAUGAGAAAAUUCCUUUGUUUAGUAAAUCACACAAAAAUCCAACAGAAAUUGUGAAAAUUCUGGAAGACAACAUGGUCGUUUUGGAAAAGACAAAAAGAUAAACAAGGGUCUAACACAAGCUCCAACAGUGAAGGCCUUUUGCUAGGCGACGGGGCUAACAGAGUCCUCUCCGGAACUUGUGUCAAGUGGUGGCCAGCAUUCGACACAAGAACCACUGUUGAAAGCAGCAUACCCCAGGGGAGCCAAGCUUGUGAUAAAAUCUAGAUCACUAUCGGUUCAAGAUUAAAUUUCCUGAGUAAGGCCGAUGAUGCGCACAUCCUGUGUGGUUGAUUAGAGAAGAUUUGUAUUUGGAUAGCAGGUGACAAGGAUCACAGUCUACGUGAAGGCUGAGCAGCCUAUUAAAGAGAUGAGG